rnacentral:rRNA from 1 species
AUGGCCAAGCUCUCCGGCCGGUCCGCGAGCCUCCGUGCGGCGCCGGCCUCCUCCCACGAGCGCAGCAGCUCCGCCUGGAUCUGGGGAGGCGGUCGUGGGUUGUGUGGUGGCCGAUGGGGCGCGGCCACGGGGGGCGCCGCCGGUAUGGAUCAGACGGAGGCCGUGGGUUUCGCCAGAGAUGAGAUGAGGAUGUCUAAGCGACGACGCCGGGGCGAGGAGGGUGAGUCCCGCUGCCAUGACCGCAGCGGCAACAAGCACAAGAGCCUCUAUCUGGUUCUAGACGACUGGCACAGGGGCUUCACCAUCCGCAAGCUUGACGCUGGCAGCCCUGACCUAAGCACCCCUCCUGUCGUCCGGCUAGUGUCACCUGCGCGUAACCUUACCUUUCGAACUCGAAGGCUACUUCGACGCCGAGCUAGAUGCAUGGGUUGGGCUACACCCAGAUGGCUACAUCUGCUCCUGCCAAGUUCCCUCCCUCAGCAGUAG